GGGUUGUGAGGUUAAGCGACCAAGCGUACACGGUGGAUGCCCUGGCAGUCAGAGGCGAUGAAGGACGUGCUAAUCUGCGAUAAGCGCCGGUAAGGUGAUAUGAACCGUUAUAACCGGCGAUUUCCGAAUGGGGAAACCCAGUGUGACUCGUCACACUAUCAUUAACUGAAUCCAUAGGUUAAUGAGGCGAACCGGGGGAACUGAAACAUCUAAGUACCCCGAGGAAAAGAAAUCAACCGAGAUUCCCCCAGUAGCGGCGAGCGAACGGGGAGGAGCCCAGAGCCUGAAUCAGCAUGUGUGUUAGUGGAAGCGUCUGGAAAGGCGCGCGAUACAGGGUGACAGCCCCGUACACAAAAGCGCAUAUGCUGUGAGCUCGAUGAGUAGGGCGGGACACGUGGUAUCCUGUCUGAAUAUGGGGGGACCAUCCUCCAAGGCUAAAUACUCCUGACUGACCGAUAGUGAACCAGUACCGUGAGGGAAAGGCGAAAAGAACCCCGGCGAGGGGAGUGAAACAGAACCUGAAACCGUGUACGUACAAGCAGUGGGAGCACAGGUUUACCUGUGUGACUGCGUACCUUUUGUAUAAUGGGUCAGCGACUUAUAUUCUGUAGCAAGGUUAACCGCAUAGGGGAGCCGAAGGGAAACCGAGUCUUAAUUGGGCGUUAAGUUGCAGGGUAUAGACCCGAAACCCGGUGAUCUAGCCAUGGGCAGGUUGAAGGUUGGGUAACACUAACUGGAGGACCGAACCGACUAAUGUUGAAAAAUUAGCGGAUGACCUGUGGCUGGGGGUGAAAGGCCAAUCAAACCGGGAGAUAGCUGGUUCUCCCCGAAAGCUAUUUAGGUAGCGCCUCGUGAAUUCAUCUCCGGGGGUAGAGCACUGUUUCGGCUAGGGGGCCAUCCCGGCUUACCAACCCGAUGCAAACUGCGAAUACCGGAGAAUGUUAUCACGGGAGACACACGGCGGGUGCUAACGUCCGUCGUGAAGAGGGAAACAACCCAGACCGCCAGCUAAGGUCCCAAAGUCAUGGUUAAGUGGGAAACGAUGUGGGAAGGCCCAGACAGCCAGGAUGUUGGCUUAGAAGCAGCCAUCAUUUAAAGAAAGCGUAAUAGCUCACUGGUCGAGUCGGCCUGCGCGGAAGAUGUAACGGGGCUAAACCAUGCACCGAAGCUGCGGCAGCGACACUGUGUGUUGUUGGGUAGGGGAGCGUUCUGUAAGCCGUUGAAGGUGUGUCGUGAGGCAUGCUGGAGGUAUCAGAAGUGCGAAUGCUGACAUAAGUAACGAUAAAGCGGGUGAAAAGCCCGCUCGCCGGAAGACCAAGGGUUCCUGUCCAACGUUAAUCGGGGCAGGGUGAGUCGACCCCUAAGGCGAGGCCGAAAGGCGUAGUCGAUGGGAAACGGGUUAAUAUUCCCGUACUUGGUGUUACUGCGAAGGGGGGACGGAGAAGGCUAUGUUGGCCGGGCGACGGUUGUCCCGGUUUAAGCGUGUAGGCUGACUUUCCAGGCAAAUCCGGAGAGUCAAGGCUGAGGCGUGACGACGAGGCACCACGGUGCUGAAGCAACAAAUGCCCUGCUUCCAGGAAAAGCCUCUAAGCAUCAGGUAACAUCAAAUCGUACCCCAAACCGACACAGGUGGUCAGGUAGAGAAUACCAAGGCGCUUGAGAGAACUCGGGUGAAGGAACUAGGCAAAAUGGUGCCGUAACUUCGGGAGAAGGCACGCUGACAUGUAGGUGAAGCGGUUUACCCGUGGAGCUGAAGUCAGUCGAAGAUACCAGCUGGCUGCAACUGUUUAUUAAAAACACAGCACUGUGCAAACACGAAAGUGGACGUAUACGGUGUGACGCCUGCCCGGUGCCGGAAGGUUAAUUGAUGGGGUCAGCGCAAGCGAAGCUCCUGAUCGAAGCCCCGGUAAACGGCGGCCGUAACUAUAACGGUCCUAAGGUAGCGAAAUUCCUUGUCGGGUAAGUUCCGACCUGCACGAAUGGCGUAAUGAUGGCCAGGCUGUCUCCACCCGAGACUCAGUGAAAUUGAACUCGCUGUGAAGAUGCAGUGUACCCGCGGCAAGACGGAAAGACCCCGUGAACCUUUACUAUAGCUUGACACUGAACAUUGAGCCUUGAUGUGUAGGAUAGGUGGGAGGCUUUGAAGCGUGGACGCCAGUCUGCGUGGAGCCAACCUUGAAAUACCACCCUUUAAUGUUUGAUGUUCUAACGUGGACCCGUGAUCCGGGUUGCGGACAGUGUCUGGUGGGUAGUUUGACUGGGGCGGUCUCCUCCUAAAGAGUAACGGAGGAGCACGAAGGUUGGCUAAUCCUGGUCGGACAUCAGGAGGUUAGUGCAAUGGCAUAAGCCAGCUUGACUGCGAGCGUGACGGCGCGAGCAGGUGCGAAAGCAGGUCAUAGUGAUCCGGUGGUUCUGAAUGGAAGGGCCAUCGCUCAACGGAUAAAAGGUACUCCGGGGAUAACAGGCUGAUACCGCCCAAGAGUUCAUAUCGACGGCGGUGUUUGGCACCUCGAUGUCGGCUCAUCACAUCCUGGGGCUGAAGUAGGUCCCAAGGGUAUGGCUGUUCGCCAUUUAAAGUGGUACGCGAGCUGGGUUUAGAACGUCGUGAGACAGUUCGGUCCCUAUCUGCCGUGGGCGCUGGAGAACUGAGGGGGGCUGCUCCUAGUACGAGAGGACCGGAGUGGACGCAUCACUGGUGUUCGGGUUGUCAUGCCAAUGGCACUGCCCGGUAGCUAAAUGCGGAAGAGAUAAGUGCUGAAAGCAUCUAAGCACGAAACUUGCCCCGAGAUGAGUUCUCCCUGAGACUUUAAGUCUCCUGAAGGAACGUUGAAGACGACGACGUUGAUAGGCCGGGUGUGUAAGCGCAGCGAUGCGUUGAGCUAACCGGUACUAAUGAACCGUGAGGCUUAACCUUACAACGCCGAAGCUGUU
rnacentral:rRNA from 1 species